AAAAAUUUAAUUUAUUUAUUUUAGAGUUUGAAAAAGUGAUUUUCUUGAGAUCUCCAUUCUUUUCACCGGCUAGUCCAAUACAACAACGGAGUAAUACACCAACUUCCUCUGCCUGCUUAAUACCUUUCCAAGAAACUUCUUUCAAGAUUAAGGUUAAGAGUUCAUCUUCUGAACUCCUCGCACAGAUUUUGAUCUCAAGGAAGAGUUCCACCUGCCUGAUCUGCAUUCAUAUUUCUCGUCUUACACACUGAUCGUCUCUUUGUCCAUUAAUUUCUUUGGUACUUUUCAAAAUGGCUUCUACUUCAUCUUCCAUCAUCCCCUCUAAAAUCACCUAUGACGUUUUCCUUAGUUUUAG
rnacentral:misc_RNA from 1 species